rnacentral:rRNA from 1 species
UCGUAACAAGGUCUCCGUAGGUGAACCUGCGGAGGGAUCAUUACUGAGUGUGGGCUCCGGCCCUACCUCCAACCCCAUGUCGAAACGACUCUGUUGCCUCGGGGGCGACCCGGCCUUCGGGCGUCGGGGCCCCCGGUGGACACCUUCAUAACUCUUGCAUCUCUUGCGUCUGAGUGAUACAUAUAAUCAAUCAAAACUUUCAACAACGGAUCUCUUGGUUCUGGCAUCGAUGAAGAACGCAGCGAAAUGCGAUAAGUAAUGUGAAUUGCAGAAUUCAGUGAAUCAUCGAAUCUUUGAACGCACAUUGCGCCCCCUGGCAUUCCGGGGGGCAUGCCUGUUCGAGCGUCAUUACACCACUCAAGCCUGGCUUGGUAUUGAGCGCCGCGGCCUGCCCGCGCGCUCCAAUGUCUCCGGCUGAGCCGUCCGUCUCUAAGCGUUGUGAAUAGCGAUCGCUUGCGAGGCCCGGGCGGUUCGACGCCGUUAAACCCCCCAUUUUCUAUGGUUGACCUCGGAUCAGGUAGGGAUACCCGCUGAACUUAAGCAUAUCAAUA